rnacentral:rRNA from 1 species
AUUGAACGCUGGCGGCAGGCCUAACACAUGCAAGUCGAGCGAGCGGCGGACGGGUGUGUAAUGCCUGGGAAUUGCCCAGUCGAGGGGGAUAUCAGUGGGAAACUACUGCUAAUCCCGCAUACGAUUGGAUUGCCCAGGUGGGAUUAUCUAGUUGGUGAGGUAAUGGCUCACCAAGGCGACUAUCCCUAGCUGGUCUGAGAGGAGGAUCAGCCACACUGGAACUGAGACACGGUCCAGACUCCUACGAGAGGCAGCAGUGGGGAAUAUUGCACAAUGGGGGAAACCCUGAUGCAGCCAUGCCGCGUGUGUGAAGAAGGCCUUCGGGUUGUAAAGCACUUUCAGCGAGGAGGCGUUACUCGCAGAAGAAGCACCGGCUAACUCCGUGCCAGCCGCCGCGGUAAUUC